rnacentral:rRNA from 1 species
AGCGAACGCUGGCGGCAGGCUUAACACAUGCAAGUCGAGCGGGCAUCCUCGUUGUGUCAGCGGCAGACGGGUGAGUAACGCGUGGGAACGUGCCCUUCGGUUCGGAAUAACUCAGGGAAACUUGAGCUAAUACCGGAUACGUGCGAGAGCAGAAAGGUUUAUCUGCCGAAGGAUCGGCCCGCGUCUGAUUAGCUAGUUGGUGAGGUUACGGCUCACCAAUGCGACGAUCAGUAGCUGGUCUGAGAGGAUGACCAGCCACACUGGGACUGAGACACGGCCCAGACUCCUACGGAAGGCAGCAGUGGGGAAUAUUGGACAAUGGGGGCAACCCUGAUCCAGCCAUGCCGCGUGAGUGAUGACGGCCGUAGGGUUGUAAAGCUCUUUUCUCCGGGACGAUAAUGACGGUACCGGAGGAAUAAGCCCCGGCUAACUUCGUG